UCCAUGCUGCUUUCGACGUGAACAAAAUGAGACAUAACAUUAUUUGGCUUAUCGGUGGAUUGUUUACAUUUUAAAGAUUUGUGUGAUAUCAUAGCGGCGAGACAUAAUCGACAUUUUUAUUUAGUUUUUAUUUCUGCUGGGAAACACUGUGAACACAUUGUUAAGAUUUUGUUUUAUAUUUGUAGUCCGAUCAGCUGAUGGUUUCAUUGAUUUUGCGAGGCGGUUCAUUAUUUUGUUAUUGUGGCGUCGAUUCUUGCCUUAAAGCCACAACAUUUAGACUAGUCUUGUUUUUAUCAAACUAGUUCAGUGUGACAGCUAACAGGUCAAGGACGAAGUUUUCUUUUAUUUUUCACCAUUUUUCAAAACGUACUAGUAACAUUUUGCCGCAAAGGGAACAGGAUUCUCAUCGGCAAGCCCAAACUUUUAAAUCCUUACAAAAUUUGUGGAGCAUCGCUUUUCAAACAUUGUAGAAUGUCGACAGAUUCCAGAUAUAAUGUUGUUUUUGUGCUUGGUGGACCUGGAGCUGGAAAAGGUACACAGUGUCAACUGAUACAAAAGGAAUUUGGUUAUGUCCAUCUUUCUGCUGGAGAGCUGCUUAGAAAUGAACAGAACACAGAAGGUUCCGAAUAUUCCAAAGAGAUAGAUAAUCACAUCCGCAAUGGUACCAUUGUUCCAGUAAAAAUUACCUGUGCUCUUCUAUACAGGGCAAUGCAAGGCAGUGGUAAACAUAACUUCCUAAUUGAUGGAUUCCCCAGAAACAAGGACAAUUUAGAUGGCUGGAAUACAGAAAUGGAUAAAGUUGCUAAAAUACAAUGUGUUCUAUUUUUCAACUGUCCAGAUCAGGUGUGUGUAGAGAGAUGCUUGAAACGAGGAAAAACUAGUGGCCGUACAGAUGACAAUGAAGAAAGCUUGAAGAAAAGAUUUCACAUAUUUUUUAAUAUGUGUCCAUACUUCUAGUGCUCUGACGGCUACUGGUGUAUUUUCUAACCAUCUGUGGUUACAGAAUUUGAGAGGGAAGACAUUGGAAUCUGUCAUUGAAACAAAAUCUUCCCUUCGAGCUGGUGUAUCCUUAAACAGAAUAGAAACAUAUUAUAAGUCAACACUGCCAAU
rnacentral:misc_RNA from 1 species